ACUAGGGAUAACCCAGCGAAAGUUGGCCUAAUGCCCUAUGUAGUCGUUUGAUCGCCUGAGAUUUCGACGAAGAUUUAUCGGUAUUGGAUGGGGGAUGCGUCUGAUUAGCUUGUUUGGCGGGUAAAGGCCCACCCAAGGCAACGAUCAGUAGGGGUUCUGAGAGGAAGGUCCCCCACAUUGGAACUGAGACACGGUCCAAACUCCUACGGGAGGCAGCAGUGAGGAAUAUUGGUCAAUGGGCGAGAGCCUGAACCAGCCAAGUAGCGUGCAGGAUGACGGCCCUAUGGGUUGUAAACUGCUUUUAUAUGGGAAUAAAGUGAGGGGACGUGUCCCUUAUUGCAUGUACCAUACGAAUAAGGACCGGCUAAUUCCGUGCCAGCAGCCGCGGUAAU
rnacentral:rRNA from 1 species